UAGUUCUUUAAUUGGGAGCUAGAAUGAAAGGUUGAACAAAAAGUUAACUGUCUUUAAAUUAAACCUUGAAUUUAACAUUUAAGUGAAAAGGCUUAAAUAUCUUAGGGGGACGAUAAGACCCUAUAAAUCUUUAUAUUUAAACUUAUAAAAUAAAAGAAUAAAAAUAUAUUUUGUUUGAUAGGUCUAAAUAUUUUGUUGGGGCGACAAGAGUAUAAAAUGUAACUGCUUUAAAAUAAUAGUUAAAUGGUGUUUAAUUGUGUGAUCCUUUAGUAAAGAAUAUUAGUUUAAGUUACUUUAGGGAUAACAGCGUAAUUUUUUUUGAGAGUUCAUAUUGAGAAAAAAGUUUGCGACCUCGAUGUUGAAUUAAAGAUCCUUUACGGUGCAGAAGUUGUAAAAGGAGGUCUGUUCGACCUUUAAAUCUUUACAUGAUCUGA
rnacentral:rRNA from 1 species